rnacentral:lncRNA from 1 species
AUGGGUAAGUGGGCAGGCAUACGUCCUUUUCAGUCUUGAAGCCAAAGAAGGAAUCCUGCCUGAAUGCCUUUACCUAAAAGAGUAUCCAAGGAGGCCAAGCCAUUCCUGUAAAACGCCCGUGUCUGUGAAAGACCCCUGCAAACAUUCAAAGCACAGCUCUGUAUUCUCAGCGCCACAUGAAGCAGCAGCAACGGUAGUUAGAAAACUGGGGCGGAGCCCACGACCAUGGACUUUGUUUCGCUUGAUGCGUAGGGUAGCCAGAGUUAUCCACGCUGGUCCGUUUUGGCUCGCUCUGUUUGAAGAACUGGUCAUAUCCUCAUGGACCACAUCAGUAAAGCAAGUUGACCUUUCCUGAGGAAAGAAGCCCCGGCAUUUGCGGUUUGAAGUAUAUUGAACUUGAGUUAUAACUGAAAAGGUUUGGGAAAAUGGCAUCUGUCCAGUUUAUGACUUGGGCUGAACUUAGUUCUACUCUCAAGCUGUAAUAAGAACUUGCCCAAUAAUACUGGACAUAGCGUGGAAACCAGAGCAGGGUGGCUAGAAUUUAAACCCUCUCUGUGGUCUUUGUUUUUCAGUCCACGUGUGUGGUUGAGUGUGUGAAGCUUGCAAUUUGAUGCCCUGGUGCUUUUCCCCCACUUGGUGCUAGGGAUUAAACCCGAGCGAGGGCUCUGCCAUUGAACCAGAUCCCUAGUCACACUUUGUGUCUUGUCUCCUAUUUAAGUGGUUCUAAUGUCUGUAUAAGUUCCCUUUGUUGGAUGUGUAAUUUCCUAGUUGAUCACACUAAUACUGCUUGGGUCUUACUUGAAGCACUUUUGUGUGCAAGAUAUGUCCUAAAUGAAGACUUGCCUUCUCCUGCCUAUCAUACUACUUAGCUGGUCACCAGCCUCUGGAGGAACAACUUCUCCUAGAACCGUAGAGCAUCCUCUGAGGAUUGGUCUUCAACAGCUUCAGGAGCGCUAGCUCUUUCUGUACAUCUCUAGGGCUGUGUCCUUGAGCCUGGCCGGGGCUACCUGUUGUCCUCCAGCCCAGGUGACCAGCUGCCGCUGCCCAUCCCUCCAGGCGUCUGGGUAUAUGCUGGUUAGAGACACUGGUCCUGUUCCUUUCUUUAAAGGUAUCUUGUUGGGUGUGGUAGCACACACUGGUAAUAAGAGCUCUUGGGAGGCUGGGGCAGGAAGAUUUAAAGUUCAGAGUCAGCCUGGGCUCUUCAGUGAGUUCCAAAUUACACAGGAAACAAAAGAGGCAGUGUGGAUAAGUUCCUUAGAUAAUGUCCCUGUUCCAUUUUUCCCUUCCUCGGUUUAGUGAAAUUUCCCUAGAUUCCAUGAACAAAUGGGAAGAGGUUAUCCCCAGGCCUUGGUCUCUCCAGACUGAGGGAGGGACAGAGGUUGUGAGUAUCUUUUGUUUGCUCCGUGCUUGACCAUUGAUUGACUGUGAUCUGCCUUUUUACUAUUUUGAUGGGUCUUUUCAGUGUUUUUUUUUUUGGCCACAUCACACUUUUUAGCCUGUACCAUUCCUUUAGGUAUGGAAAGGGUAUUUGUCCCACUUGUUCUGGUGAAAAAUCCCGUUUAUGAAAUAAGUCUGCAGACUCAUAUAAACAUUACUGUCUAUAGUAAACUUAAGAACUGUCUUAGACCUGUGUCGAGUGUCUCCAGCCCUGCCUGUCGCAGUAGUUUUCUGUGUCACUAAAGCAUGCUCCUAAAGAGGACAGAAUUGUUUACUGCUAAGGGAGGCCCCAGGGCUCUGGCUCCUGCCUACCGCUUCUGUCCCCUGCGCUGCCCGACCCAACCUGACCUGUCCACUGCUGCUGCACUGUUUUGACCCCCCACUGAUCUUGCUAUUCCUCAGUAAAUUCCCAUUUUCCCCUGGUGCAGAGGCUGCCUGGGCUGCUGUCACAGCGCUUUCCCUAAGCCUGCAUGGCUGCUACCUCACUCGUGGUUAUGAAGCUUACUAAGAUUUUUAGAGUGACUAGAAAUGUCCCCUGCUUCUGAAGCCUCGUUUACUCCUUCUCUUGGAAGGCGACUUACCUCUCCCCGACUUACCCCGCCUCUGCAGUCUAGCUACAUUUCCUAGUCACAGACUCUGAGGAAGAAAUCGUUAGCAAGAGCUUUGGCUCUGUCUUAGAAGUGAGCUAGCUUAAGUGCAUUUUUGUGCCUCUUAAUACAAAGACGUAGAGUGAGCUGAGUCUCUGGACGCUUUGUUUUAUACCGACAGCUCCAUCUAUUUUGAAAGCAGUGUCACUUUGUUCUGUUUACACGUGUAUUAAAUAUUUGUCAAGAUUACUAUUUUGUUACUCUGUGAAGUUGGCUGCUUGAUUUACCAAAUGAAAGUUAUUUUGAUGUUGCCAAAGUUAUUUAUAAGAACUAGCAAUUAGAGGAAUAAAAAAGCAUUUUGUGGAAACCUUUUCUGUCUUUUUUUUUUUUUUUUACUUUGUGCACUGUGUAUUUUAGGUUAAUUUUUGUUUUGUGUCUUCUGCAGUUGAGUUUAUUUUACUGGUUAUAACUUCUAGUGAUAUGUUCAAUAAAGCUAAUUAGGCUUCUUUAAUUUC